rnacentral:lncRNA from 1 species
UUCAUGUUUCACCCUUGUAACUGGAUGUUUUCCUCGUGCCUCCUAGUACCUCCUUGUGCUCCCUCGUGUCAUCCUGUUCUGUGUCUUAGUGCUCAGGACCAUCCUUCAUCUGCCUGCCUCCUCCUGCUCCUGUUCCUCCUCCAGACCAGCCAGUUACCCAGCCCAGAGAGCCUCACAUUCCAGCACCGGAACGCUACUCGGGUGACCUGGGAAUGUGCCAGGCCUUCCUCUUCCAGUGCUCCCUAGUGUUUAAGCAGCAACCCUUCACUUAUGCCACAGAUAAGUCUAAGAUGUUAUGGGGUUAAUUAAGGGGAAUGUGCUAACAUGGGCAUCAGUAAUAUGGGAUAGUCAGUCUCCAGUUAGCUCCUCAUUGGAUAGAUUCACCUCAGAAAAGAGGAAGGAGACUGGACCUCUGGCAGAGUGGUGAGUUGGAGAUCCUUCUGUCUGUCAUCCUUCAUGCAGUCUGCUCUUUCCCCAGGGGUGGCCGCUGUUCCCUCACCAGCCAAUGAACCUCCUGACCUACGAUCUAUCCCCUCCAUCUAUCAUGAUUUAGGUGAGGUUUUUAGCAAACACCGUGCUCUCUCUGCCUCCCCAUCGGCCGUCCUAUAGACCUUCUUCUGGGAGCUCCCCUGCCUUCCAGUCGCCUAUACAACCUGUCCCGUUUGUCUACCUCGUUGACAUGCCAAUUAUUUUCCCGGAACCUACCUUGAAGAACACAUCCAGCAUGUUAGGCAGGUUCUCUAGAGACUACUGGAGAACAACUUAUUUGCCAGAGUAGAUACAUUCGAGUUCCACGUGAGCUCCGUCCGCUUCCUGGGUUACAUCAUCGAGAGUGGGCAGGUGAAAACAGACCCGCCUGAAGUUGAAGAAGCGCUCAUCCUCAUCCAGCCAGACCCUUCUCGCCAGUUUGUGGUGGAGGUUGAUGCCUCAGAUACAGGGUUUUUUUCUCCACUCAUCUUCAGAUUGUUGUUUCCACUCCAGUGGUGGUUGACUUCAGUCCUCUCAAAUUCAAUCUAUUUUGUUCUGUGUUUCUGUUCCGCCAGUUCUAAUUUAGUCUCUCGGUGCUCAGCACCAUCCUUCAUCAGCCUGCCUCCCUGCCUCCCUCCCUGCCUACCUGCUUGCCUGCCUUCUAGCCUGCCUGCCUACUCACACCAUUCACCAGCACUUCUCACUUCCCAAUUGACAGACAAUGCAGCCAUUCAGCGACGAGGAAUCAUUUCCAAAUACGUUCCUACCUUUUCCACCUUGGGUUAAUGUCAGUGUUUUGUGAAAUGUCGUUAUUUUCUGAAAUGUUGUUGACCCUCAGGGCCACCGUAAAAAGUUUUGCUAGUUCACUUACAAACAUAACGAGACACAAAUUAGAAUCGGAGGGAUGAAACCCUCUUUUUAAUGGUCGCACACAGCACACACAGUGAAAUUUGUUCUCUGCUUUUAACCCAUCCUAGUACCAGGAGUAACUAUUGUCUGAUUGUACUGCCGGACAAUCAGACAACAAAUAAAAUAUAAAACUUAUAACAGACUUUAAUCUGUUAUCUGUCUUUACUCCGGUACGAUAUCCAAUUAUCGGGGCGUGUAAGCUGUUAAAAUGCUUGUGAUAAGGCUGAUCUCGUGUAUCCUCGCUCAUGGCUCCUCAGAAAUCCCUCCUCAGAAAAGAAAUAAGAGCUUUGAGACGGUCUUUAAGAUGGCCCACCAGAACAACUAUCGGUUCAAAGUGAGGAUUGAAAAACAGGAAAUUAAAAGAACCAGAAACAGUAACAAAGUUAACACACCCAGAUUCUAUAACAUCCUUAGGCUGAACUUUUAACGUUACAGUGAAGAAAACAGUUCAUAGCAGUUUAAAUCAAUAGUCAGGUGACCAUAAUAACACAUUAAACCGUUUUUGGUUUAAUCAUUCCUCCACUUCAUUGUAGCCUUUCAGAGAUCUCUCUCUUAUGUGCUUCCAAUAUACCAGUCGUCUUUCUGUGCAAAAAUAUAUUCCAAAGUUGAUCUGAAGCUAAUUUGAGGCUUUAUCAGUCUAUUUGGUAUAAAAUUCCCUCUCACAGCUCAGCACAGA